rnacentral:rRNA from 1 species
AGGGGCAUCAGGAAGAAAGCUUGCUUUCUUUGCUGGCGACCGGCGCACGGGUGAGUAACACGUAUCCAACCUGCCCUUUACUCGGGGAUAGCCUUUCGAAAGAAAGAUUAAUACCCGAUGGCAUAAUGAUUCCGCAUGGUUUCAUUAUUAAAGGAUUCCGGUAAAGGAUGGGGAUGCGUUCCAUUAGGUUGUUGGUGAGGUAACGGCUCACCAAGCCUUCGAUGGAUAGGGGUUCUGAGAGGAAGGUCCCCCACAUUGGAACUGAGACACGGUCCAAACUCCUACGGGAGGCAGCAGUGAGGAAUAUUGGUCAAUGGGCGCUAGCCUGAACCAGCCAAGUAGCGUGAAGGAUGAAGGCUCUAUGGGUCGUAAACUUCUUUUAUAUAAGAAUAAAGUGCAGUAUGUAUACUGUUUUGUAUGUAUUAUAUGAAUAAGGAUCGGCUAACUCCGUGCCAGCAGCCGCGGUAAUACGGAGGAUCCGAGCGUUAUCCGGAUUUAUUGGGUUUAAAGGGAGCGUAGGUGGACUGGUAAGUCAGUUGUGAAAGUUUGCGGCUCAACCGUAAAAUUGCAGUUGAUACUGUCAGUCUUGAGUACAGUAGAGGUGGGCGGAAUUCGUGGUGUAGCGGUGAAAUGCUUAGAUAUCACGAAGAACUCCGAUUGCGAAGGCAGCUCACUGGACUGCAACUGACACUGAUGCUCGAAAGUGUGGGUAUCAAACAGGAUUAGAUACCCUGGUAGU